rnacentral:rRNA from 1 species
UGGGGAAUAUUGGACAAUGGGGGGAACCCUGAUCCAGCCAUGCCGCGUGUGUGAAGAAGGCCUUAUGGUUGUAAAGCACUUUAAGCGAGGAGGAGGGUACUGGUAUUAAUACUACCAGGUACUGGACGUUACUCGCAGAAUAAGCACCGGCUAACUCUGUGCCAGCAGCCGCGGUAAUACAGAGGGUGCAAGCGUUAAUCGGAAUUACUGGGCGUAAAGCGCGCGUAGGUGGUUCGUUAAGUUGAAUGUGAAAGCCCCGGGCUCAACCUGGGAACUGCAUCCAAAACUGGCGAGCUAGAGUAGGGCAGAGGGUGGUGGAAUUUCCUGUGUAGCGGUGAAAUGCGUAGAUAUGGGAAGGAACACCAGUGACGAAGGCGACCACCUGGGCUCAUACUGACACUGAGGUGCGAAAGCGUGGGGAGCAAACAGG